CUGGCAGCCUGCAAGGAAAGGAAAAGUAAUUGAAAUAAAUGUUUUAAGGCAGUUCAUUUUCUGCAUCAUAUCUAAACAAUCUUUCUGAACUUCUACAGGGGGAAAAAAUGCACAAUUGUAUUCAAUGUACCUCAGCAUAAAUCUAAACUGGAUGUUGUUCCUGUCAAAACUGCAUUUGGAUAAUGCUUGCACUAUCAUAAUACAAGAGUAAAAUGGUUUGAAAAUAAUACCUAAGAAUUAAGUCCCCUGGUGUGCUAUAAGAAAUGUCCUGAUGGUUCAGGCACUGAUACUGACCUUCACCAGGAGCUGCAUGUCUCUUGAGUGAGCAGAAGAAAUGCACCUCUUGCAUGGACCUGGUACUCACCCAACAGUGAUGUCGAAGAUGUUGCUGCCCACAGAACUGGACACAGCCAUGUCCCCCAAGCCCUUCCGGGCCACGAUGACACUGGUGAUGAGAAAGAACAAAACCUCUCACCUGGUGAGCCCACCACACCAUGAGAUAAGAGAAUGCAGCAAUCCAGAGGAUGGAUCCAAAAAAAGUGAUGACAAAGAAUUUUUUUGACUCCUGUUGAAAUCAAGUUUGAAAAGAAGAAAGAGAAGUUUCAGGGAAGUUAAUAGUCCCCAUUGAAAACUAUUCACCUGAAACACUUGACUGCAAUUGAUUGCUUUAACUUGGACCCUGGUCUCUGCUGUUUUUCAGCUUGACCUGUAGUUGCUAGAAUUUGUGGUUUAUUAAAUUAAGUCUCUGAAAUGGCAUUACACUGCAGCUGAGGUUCCUGUCCCACUCCCUGCAGCACUAACAGCCCUUCAACUAUGCAAAGACUCCAGACAUGGAAAAAUGGACCCAGGGACUCUUGCCCAGAGGAAAGCCAUAGCUCAGUUAAUGACUCCAGUAGCAGAAGGAAGAUAGAUUCUUACUGGGUUUCUGACAUCAGGCAGCGUGCUCCAGAGAGGAAAGACAAUGGGAAAGAGGAAAAGGGCUGGGAUGAGGUUUGAGCUAAAAAGAGGAAGAUGCGGCGUGCUAUGGAAUGGAGGAAGCCUGUAAUUCACAUUUGCUGCCCCUGCAGUCAGAGAGACAGCAGAGACGAGGGAUGCCACCACUUCCAGGGAACCCCAGCAGCAGCAGCUGCCACCACAGCAGUAACCAGCUUGGCACAGGAAAAGUAGAUAUGGCAGGACCAAAACAUGAGGUGUUUGUGCUUGCCAGCCAUGCGAUCAGAAGGAGCACAUCCCACUGCCACAGAGCUACC